GGGUGCGAUCAUACCAGCACUAAUGCAACGGAUCCCAUCAGAACUCCGCAGCUAAGCGUGCUUGGGCGAGAGUAGUACUAGGAUGGGUGACCUCCUGGGAAGUCCUCGUGUUGCACCCC
rnacentral:rRNA from 1 species